rnacentral:rRNA from 1 species
UACAGAGGGGGCAAGCGUUGUUCGGAAUUACUGGGCGUAAAGGGCGCGUAGGCGGCCUUCUAAGUCGAACGUGAAAUCCCCGGGCUCAACCCGGGAACUGCGUCCGAUACUGGAAGGCUUGAAUCCGGGAGAGGGAUGUGGAAUUCCAGGUGUAGCGGUGAAAUGCGUAGAUAUCUGGAGGAACAUCGGUGGCGAAGGCGGCAUCCUGGACCGGUAUUGACGCUGAGGCGCGAAAGCCAGGGGAGCAAACGGG